GCCCCAGUAGCUCAGUUAGGAUAGAGCAACGGUUUCCUAAACCGUAGGUCAGAAGUUCAAGUCUUCUCUGGGGCACCA
rnacentral:tRNA from 1 species